AUUGAACGCUGGCGGAAUGCUUUACACAUGCAAGUCGAACGGCAGCACGGGGGCAACCCUGGUGGCGAGUGGCGAACGGGUGAGUAAUACAUCGGAACGUGCCCGGUCGUGGGGGAUAACGUAGCGAAAGUUACGCUAAUACCGCAUACGAUCUGAGGAUGAAAGCGGGGGACCUUCGGGCCUCGCGCGAUCGGAGCGGCCGAUGUCAGAUUAGGUAGUUGGUGGGGUAAAGGCCUACCAAGCCGACGAUCUGUAGCUGGUCUGAGAGGACGACCAGCAACACGGGGAGGGAGACGCGCCCCCGCCCCGGCCGGGGGGAGCCGUGGGGGAUUUUUGGACAAGGGGCGCAAGCUUAAUCCAGCCUUCCCGGGGGAAGGACAAGGGCUUUCGGUUUGUAAACUGUUUUUGUAGGAAAGAAAAAGUUUCUGCCUAAUACCGGGGGCCAAUGACGUUACCGAAAAAAUAAGCACCGGCUAACUACGUC
rnacentral:rRNA from 1 species